AGUGAACGCUGGCGGUAGGCCUAACACAUGCAAGUCGAACGGCAGCACAGUAAGAGCUUGCUCUUACGGGUGGCGAGUGGCGGACGGGUGAGGAAUACAUCGGAAUCUACUUUUUCGUGGGGGAUAACGUAGGGAAACUUACGCUAAUACCGCAUACGACCUACGGGUGAAAGCAGGGGAUCUUCGGACCUUGCGCGAUUGAAUGAGCCGAUGUCGGAUUAGCUAGUUGGCGGGGUAAAGGCCCACCAAGGCGACGAUCCGUAGCUGGUCUGAGAGGAUGAUCAGCCACACUGGAACUGAGACACGGUCCAGACUCCUACGGGAGGCAGCAGUGGGGAAUAUUGGACAAUGGGCGCAAGCCUGAUCCAGCAAUACCGCGUGAGUGAAGAAGGCCUUCGGGUUGUAAAGCCCUUUUGUUGGGAAAGAAAAGCAGCAGGUUAAUCCCCCGCUGUUCUGACGGUACCCAAAGAAUAAGCACCGGCUAACUUCGUG
rnacentral:rRNA from 1 species